AUUGAACGCUGGCGGCAUGCCUUACACAUGCAAGUCGAACGGCAGCACGGGGCAACCUGGUGGCGAGUGGCGAACGGGUGAGUAAUAUAUCGGAACAUACCCUAGAGUGGGGGAUAACGUAGCGAAAGUUACGCUAAUACCGCAUACGAACUAAGGUUGAAAGUGGGGGAUCUUCGGACCUCAUGCUCAUGGAGUGGCCGAUAUCUGAUUAGCUAGUUGGUGAGGUAAAGGCUCACCAAGGCGACGAUCAGUAGCUGGUUUGAGAGAACGACCAGCCACACUGGAACUGAGACACGGUCCAGACUCCUACGGGAGGCAGCAGUGGGGGAAUUUUGGACAAUGGGCGCAAGCCUGAUCCAGCAAUGCCGCGUGAGUGAAGAAGGCCUC
rnacentral:rRNA from 1 species